GAACAGCCAAGAGGCCUUCACGAUGCUGGGCUCAGCAGCUCAGCGAGGCUCCAGGAGCUUGUCCGAUAGCGAGAGUUACCCAGGAAGGAAUACACCAGGUGGGCUUUAGUUUCUCAGGUUUCUAAGACGACAGGAGAGCUCUACUCUGUUCUGCGCAGAGACUGAAUGCAGACAGCUGCCUGUGGAAGGAUGAAGACCCUGCCUGCCAUCGUUUCCCACCGUUUCCACCGUCUUCGCCAGUGUCCGGGUUUUGCAAUGUAGCCCAGGCUGGCCUCAAACUCAC